CUUCUAACUCUUUUUCUAUUUUCGUCUCUAUAUAAUUCUUUAUGGUUUAAACCCUAAGCUCUUUUUCGAAGAGGAGUGGCCACACACUAAAGGGCCAAACCCUUUGUCCGUACACUCAACAUGGCUGCUCCUCCUUCACCUUCUUCUUCAUCUUUACAAUCUGAGGCUUAAUCUAUGAAGCCCCAGUACCAAUGAAAGAUGGUUUUUGAAAGCAACAUUAGCUUCUUGUUCUUCAUCUAUUGGUUCAAAAUUCAGUUUACCUCAAAUUUUGGGAUACAAAGCCAUGUCUCGUAAAGAACCAAAUAGCAGUUGCUUUCAGGAAAACACAUAUAGGGGUUUAUUUAAGAUGAAGAUGAAACUCUAAUUAGAAGCUAUGCACUACACAGAUCCUUAUAUUGAAGAACUAAGCAAUGACAACCCUUAAGAAGAUCUAUUGUUGAUGCUGAAAUGACCAAUGCACCUAAAAUCUCAGGGCUUCAGUGUAACCUAUCUUGUACUCCAUGGCAGUUUUACAAGUGUGCUUCACUUAGAAUCUAUGUUCUUGUAGCUGCUGAAGAGAGUUCCCCUUGGAAACUUCAAAAUCUGUCACUGUUUUAAUACUAUACUAAAAGCUUUGUUUGUAGUAGUAAGUCUAAGUUUUUAUACUCUAUGGUUGAAAUGCUACCUUUGAACUUUUUUAUCUCCUUGUUGCUGUUUGGAGCAGCAUAUUGUAUUAAGUUCUGAUGGCGUGAGUUAUAUAGAAAGUGAGAGUUUGCUUGCCUAUGUAUAAGAAUACCAUAUGUUGAGUUAUAUGGUUUUUUACAAUUUCACUUCC